rnacentral:rRNA from 1 species
GAUGAACGCUGACAGAAUGCUUAACACAUGCAAGUCAACUUGAACUUCGGUUUGGUUGGCGGACGGGUGAGUAACGCGUAAAGAACUUGCCUCACAGCUAGGUACACCAUUUGGAAACGAAUGCUAAUACCUGAUAUUAUGAUUAUAUGGCAUCGUAUCAUUAUCAAAGCUAUCUUCGCUGUGAGAGAGCUUUGCGUCCAAUUAUCUAGUUGGAGAGGUAACGGCUCACCAAGGCGAGGAUGGGUAGCCGGCCUGAGAGGGUGAUCGGCCACAAGGGGACUGGGACAGGGCCAGUAGGCCAACGGGAGGAAGCGGUGGGGAAUAUUGGAAAAUGGACCGAGAGUGUGAUAGAGAAAUUCUGUGUGCAAGAUGAAGUUUUUCGGAAUGAAAAGUGGUUUCAGUUGGGAAGAAGAAAAUGACGGUACCAACAGAAGAAGCGACGGCUAAAUACGUG